rnacentral:rRNA from 1 species
AGCGAACGCUGGCGGCAGGCUUAACACAUGCAAGUCGAGCGGGCAUAGCAAUAUGUCAGCGGCAGACGGGUGAGUAACGCGGGGGAACGUACCUUUUGGUUCGGAACAACUGAGGGAAACUUCAGCUAAUACCGGAUAAGCCCUUACGGGGAAAGAUUUAUCGCCGAAAGAUCGGCCCGCGGCUGAUUAGCUAGUUGGUGAGGUAAUGGCUCAACAAGGCGACGAUCAGUAGCUGGUCUGAGAGGAUGAUCAGCCACAUUGGGACUGAGACACGGCCCAAACUCCUACGGGAGGCAGCAGUGGGGAAUACUGGACAAUGGGCGCAAGCCUGAUCCAGCCAUGCCGCGUGAGUGAUGAAGGCCCUAGGGUUGUAAAGCUCUUUUGUGCGGGAAGAUAAUGACGGUACCGCAAGAAUAAGCCCCGGCUAACUUCGUGCCAGCCGCCGCGGUAA